UUGCCCUUUAAAAGCUUUAUUUGGGCAUAUUGGAUUUUAAAACACUUUCUGCCCCUUUAAAUCCAUGGGAAAAUGUGCCUCUUCCCCUCCCCCUUUUCCCUGUCCUAUUGUUUCUCCAGCAGGGCGUUGUCCGGGCGUUGUCAGGGACACUGCCAGACCAGAUUAAACUGUCUUCUUUGUCCCUCCUCAAUCUCCCAUCAGCCCUUGCUAUUGUCUG